GCAAGCCUGAUCUAGCCAUGCCGCGUGAGUGACGAAGGCCUUAGGGUCGUAAAGCUCUUUCGCCAGAGAUGAUAAUGACAGUAUCUGGUAAAGAAACCCCGGCUAACUCCGUGCCAGCAGCCGCGGUAAUACGAC
rnacentral:rRNA from 1 species